rnacentral:rRNA from 1 species
GUUGGUGAUUCUAGCGGAGAGGGUCCACCCGAUCCCAUUCCGAACUCGGAAGUUAAGCUCUCCAGCCCCGAUGAUACUUCACUCGCAAGGGUGCGGGACAGUAGGACGUCGCCAACA